ensembl:snoRNA SCARNA12 small Cajal body-specific RNA 12
CUGGGUGAUGACUCCAAGGCGAAUGCGACCUCCGUGCCAUCUGACUCCUGACUCCCAGGGGGGAGGGGGGAGGCUAGAGGAAUUGUGAUAAUGGGGGUCUGAAAUAUUGGUGGGGGUGCCAGAGGCGUGGACUCCUGCUAAAAGGCAGAUCAACAUCAUGCUCGGCCCCCUUGGUUCCUAGUGGCUGCCUUCAGCCCCUGGCAGCUAUACCAAGCAGGGGCCCACAGGUGGGGUCAGGGCCAAAGCAGAGGCACUGGCUGCGUUUGAGCGCAAACCCCUAGAUCUGACA